rnacentral:rRNA from 1 species
CCUACGGGUGGCUGCAGUGAGGAAUAUUGGUCAAUGGGCGCAAGCCUGAACCAGCCAUCCCGCGUGCAGGAAGACGGCCCUAUGGGUUGUAAACUGCUUUUCCAGGGGGAGAAUUUUUCUGUCGUGACAGGAAUUGACGGUACCCUGGGAAUAAGCAUCGGCUAACUCCGUGCCAGCAGCCGCGGUAAUACGGAGGAUGCGAGCGUUAUCCGGAUUUAUUGGGUUUAAAGGGUGCGUAGGCGGAUAGAUAAGUCAGUGGUGAAAACCUGCAGCUUAACUGUAGACUUGCCGUUGAUACUGUCAGUCUUGAGUAUGGUCAAGGUAGGCGGAAUGUGUAAUGUAGCGGUGAAAUGCUUAGAUAUUACACAGAACACCGAUUGCGAAGGCAGCUUACUGGGCCAUUACUGACGCUGAUGCACGAAAGCGUGGGGAUCGAACAGGAUUAGAUACCCCGGUAGUC